rnacentral:rRNA from 1 species
CACGUAGGGGGCAAGCGUUGUCCGGAUUUAUUGGGCGUAAAGAGCUCGUAGGUGGCUGAGUAAGUCGGAUGUCAAAUCCCCAGGCUCAACCUGGGACACCACCCGAUACUGCUCUGGCUAGAGUCCGGUAGGGGAGCGUGGAAUUCCUGGUGUAGCGGUGAAAUGCGCAGAUAUCAGGAGGAACACCAAUGGCGAAGGCAGCACUCUGGGACGUGACUGACGCUGAGACGCGAAAGCGUGGGGAGCAAACAGG